rnacentral:lncRNA from 1 species
AGAAUUCACCAUGCAUGCGAUAGACCGCACAGACAGGUUAUUCCAACAGAAUAAUAAAGAAUGGAACCAGGUCUAGCGUAAUCCGCACAGACAGAAUAUUCCAACAAAAUAAUAAAGAAUGGAAUAACAAAGAAUUCACCAUGCAUGCGAUAGACCGCACAGACAGGUUAUUUCCAUAAAAUAAUAAAGAAUGGAAUAACAGAAGAAUUUCACCAUGUAUGCGGUACUUCGCAUAGA